AAAGAUGAUUUUUGAUUAAGAACUCAGAGCAAGAGUAUCUUUAAUGGUGUAUACAAAUUUGACAAACAACGCAUUUUAAUGUCUGAUAACUACAUUUCCUAUCCAUCAGUUCUACUUCAUGAAAGUUAGUUUUGGUUUGUGAGUGCAUUAAAUGUUUUACAGCAGAUUCUUUAGCUACAUUAUCAAAACUUAUCUGGGUGGCAAGUUUAUGGGACUUACUGACCAAAAGGUCAUGGUGAAUAGCUUAGUUUCUUCAAAGUGUCUAAAUAUGUUUCCAGCCCUCUAUUGGUUUACCACCAAAAUAUUUGUAUUUCAAAGAUCUGUGCAAAGAUUUGGCGUGCAUGUUGGUGUUAAUGCCUGCGUUCUUUUGAUAACACUGGGCCCAUGACUUCAUGCGCUCUUUAUUUUGAAAGUAGCAUUCCAAUAUGUAGCUGUAACUAUCAUCUGUCAUGAAAUAAUUGGGUACCAAAACCGAUAUUAAUGAUUUUAUUUCACCAACCAGAACCUCUUAUAUGUUGGUGUCCUUUCAGUUGGACAGAAUAAAUGUUACUGGAUAAUCAAUAUUUUUAUCAUCUAACACAUGGACUUGUGGUCAAUUCAAUGUCAUAGAGGUUUGUCCCAUGUGUGCCAUCUACACAAAUGAUUUUGGCGCCAUAUUUUUUUAACAUAUACUCCAGCCCACUGUACAUGAAAGCUAAUGCAGUCAUUUUUGUGCAAUUUUUCAUGUUCUGAUGCACAACAAGAUUUUCCUUACUUCAUUUACCAGAUAUAUUAUUUUUUCUGCAAUGUGGGGAAUGUCUUUCAUAGUCAGAAGAUUAAAUCUGGUACAUGAACUGAGUUCUAGAUUUUUAACAGUUUCAAUUAUUUUUUCGUGUGUUACACCAGUGCGAAUUUGUUCAAC